CCGUGUUGCGCUUGCGCCCCGACCUGAACGAGCCACAGCAGCGCGAUGCGCAAACAUCCGAGGAACGAGGAGCGCACCGGACCAAAGGCGCAGCGGAGCAUGUUUGUUGGCUGCGGCUCCGGCCUCAACACACGCAGCAGAGGGAAGCGUGCGCCGCGCUCUCCGGAGACUGGCACAGGAUGACAAAGAGAGGAGGAAGGAGAAGAGGGAGGAGGGAGUAAACCGGGUCCUCCUCCUCCUCCUCUUCUUCUUCUUCUUCUUUUUCUUGUGUCUGAACAUCACGUGGAUUAAUCGAUUAAUCAUUUGAAUUCUUGCAGCGUUUUCAAUAUAAACUACAGUAUUUUUCUGUUUGGGAAAAUGAUGCAUAUGAGGGAAUUUUAAUUAUUAAUGUUAAAAAAAAGGUUUUUGAACAACUUAUUUCCUGUGUUGCUGCAGAAAUCAUGUGCACAUCAAACCGAGCGAAGCUAAAACAGUUUCUGGCUUUUUGAAGCGUUAAUGCAAACAGCAGCUCGUCCCCAAAUCCACCAUAACACAGUCAGUUCUCUCAUCAUUUCUCCCCAGAGUGGAAACCACUUCCUGAAACCUUUUCCUUGCUUUUGUGUUUUGUUUUUUUUUUAUUUUAUUUCAUUUCCACUGGAUUUCAUUCCAGCUGAAAAUAAACCUCCAUCCUGAACAAUCCGCCUGUAAAUCUCUUGAAUUUAUCUCCUCUCUGUGUCUUUUGCAUCAUUUCUCCGCAGAGCGGAAACUUCUCUUAUUGUUUUAUCCUUCUCUCCAUCUCUAAAAGCCCCGUGAGCUUCCCCCCCUCCGUUCAUUAUCUCUUCAUGUGACUGAAGACAGUUUGUGACUGAGCUGAUUUGGCUGCAGGAGGAAGCUGGAGGCCGCGGAGCUGAAACGGAGAAGGUCGACCCCCCCAGUGUAGAGUAAACAUCAGGUGCUGGGAGCAUACCUUUCCACUAAAUGAAGCCCCCGAGUGGAGCGGCAGGUGUUCUGUACCCGGUGCCUUCUCAUUGAGGAGAACCUCAGACCUCCAACGAGACGACUCCUCGGCCUGAAUUAUUUUCCCUGACAGCGUUUUCCAGACUGUCUCUUUGAGCUCAUCGCCUGUGACAGCUCUAAUUCUCGGCUAUUUGGGAUUUUCUGCUUCAUUUCUGCAGAAGGAGGUUGAGGUGGAGUAAAACCAGUCGCCCCGUAGUGAACUAGUUCUUUGAUAUGAAGGAACUCACCUAUUUUUAAUAAACUUAAUUCAGAAAUUUAUUUGCAAACAAGAACCAAACUACAGAGAUCAGAUUAAAACUUUUCUUUUUGAUAAAGUUUGGAUGAACUUUUAUCCUGUUAAACUGAAGUUAAAGUUUUUCUCUCUGAGUUUCAGACUCUGGUUUCUGUAAAAACAAAACAACAACAACAACAACAAAAAAAAACAUCUAAAGACAAUUUAUUUAGUUACUGACUCGACAUAAAUAAAAUUUAAAUUAAAAUAAUCGAAAAAACUGAACAUAAACCAAACAGAUCCGAGACAUUUUUAAUCUAUAGGUUUGUCCAAAGUCUGUGUAAAUGGAUUUAAUUUAAUUAAUAACAAUGACAACAAGAAUAACAACAACAACAAUAACAAAAACAACAACAACAGCAAUAACAACAACAAUAAUAAACUGGAUUAAUGUGUAAUUUUUACCGAAAGAUUUUAAACAGGUUAAACAAACAUUUCAUUUUGGGGGAAAAUGGAAAUAAAACCAAGAAUCUGUUUAGUUUAUUUGUUUAUUGUUGUAUUAAAUCUCAUGUGUCAUGUUCUGUCUGAUCAAAUCUGACUUGAAUGUUUGACCAGAUUCUGUUGUUUAUUCUUAUUUUAACCGUUUUAGACAAAUAAUCACGAUUUAAUCUCUUUGCACCUUUAAUUUAUUCAGUAAUAAAUUUUGAUGUUGGUC